GAAAAAUAGUUGUUGUAGUUGCCUUUUCAGGUGAGUGCUUGCCUUGGACAUAUUUCAGUAAUUUGAUUUCAUUUCCCCCUAUUGUCUGUUCUUUGGGUUUUAAUUGCAGAAACCCAUUACUAGUGUAAAUAUUUAACUACCGGACAAUGUACAUAUACAAUUGAAUCUCACGGUCUUGGAUUUGAUGUUGAUAUUUUUCAAAGUUGCUACCUUUGUUCUUUGUUGACAGCUUUUGUAAUGUGAUGCUUUCUUAUGGGAUGCCUUUACACAUUGUUGCAUUUUAUUUCAAGAUCAAAAUCAUCUGUGGAUGUGGUGACCGAUAGAUUGCUCCUACUUUGACAUCAUUGUGAACGGUUGUAAAUGAGUAAUAAGUGUAUAUUAUAACAUUGAACUUAAAGUUCUUAAAAAGAAUAUUUACAAAGUUCAAGUGAAUAAAACAUAAUUAUUAUUACUGGUUGGAGGAAUAUAUGGUUAUAAUGAAAGCAUGGUAUAUAGUUGUUUGUUACCAUAGACUGAAUAUGUUUGGAGUUUAUUAGAGUUUUGAUUUGCAGUUAUGUUCAAAUUAUAAUGUUUUCUACUUUUGGUUUUCUAGUGUUCAAGACAACCCAAUGACAAUGAUUGUGGAUAUUAUAUGUGUCGAUAUAUGAAAGAAAUUAUCACAUGUGAAGGAGGAACAAUUUCAACUAAGUAUUUUUCUAAUUGCAAAUAUCAACAAUAUUGUGACAAUCAAAUUAUUGAAGUUAGGAAAGAUUGACGUUUACAUAUAAUUAGUACAUGUUUAUAGGUUGUUAGGGUGAUGUACAUAUGUAUUAAUAGGAUAUGUGUUAU
rnacentral:sRNA from 1 species